UAAGUAGAUGUAGAUAUUUAUAUAUACAUAUAUGUGUGUGUGUGUGUGUAUAUAUAUAUAUAUACACACACAUACACACAAGUAUAUGUGAAUGUACACGUG
rnacentral:miRNA from 1 species